UUCAAGAGAAGAGUUGCUGGGGGGGGGGGGGGAACACAUCAAGUGUAGAAGAUGUGUUCAAAAAUAGAAAAUACUACCCUUGAACUUCACAGUUCGCUCUCCAAAGAAAGUUUUAGAAGUUUUAAGUCUGGAAACUGAGAAAUAAUUACUUUAUGUGCUUUCCAUACGAGGUUAAGGUCUCUCCAAUAAGAGUAUUCAUUACAAGGAAUAUGUAGAACAAGGCUAAAGACUGAAGCAAGAGAAUCUCAACUUUGCUGGAGGAUGGUAAUGUGCUCAACCAAAGAAAAAAAGCUUAUCUUCACUUCUAGUAGGGUGGCGAUACUACAGUUCUCCCCAACACCUCUAAGCACAAUCCUGCUCUGCUAAAAUAGCUCCUCCUUGCUUCCUCUCUUCUGCUGCCUGGAAUGUGGGCAUGUUGGUCAGGGCUACAACAGACAUCCCAUGACCGUGAGAAAAACCAAGAAAAUGGCAGAGAGCUCUGUGGGGCAGGUGUUGGGGCGCAGCGGGUAAAGCUGGCGGCGUGUAACACUAGAAUCCCACAUAGGCUCCAGUUCAUGUAACGGCUGCUCCACUUCUGAUCCUCUCUGCUAAUGACCUGGGAAAGCAGCAGAAGAUGGCCCAAGUGUUUGGGCCUCUGCCAUCCACAUGGGAGACCUGGAAGAAGCUGCAGCCAUCUGGGGAGUGAACUGAUGGAAAAUUCUCUGUCUCUCCCUCUCUCUGUCAUUCUUUCAAAUAAAUAAAUAAAUAAAUCUUUUAAGUUUCACAAAACAAAUCAAGAAUUCAAUACAGGCCUUGAGCCCUGAAAGGUCAUGAAUCACAAUUCUGACAUAUAUUAGGUAAAAGAUGUAGAGAUUUUAAAAGCCUGAGAAAGCAAUGGGGAUGGCCCAAGUACCGGGUCCCUGAUAACGGUAUGGGGAACCAGGGUGGCUUCAGCCUGUCCCAGCCCCUGCUGUGACAGCCAUUUGAGGAGUGAACAAGUGAAUGGAAAAUCUCUCUCUCCCUCUUGCUCUGUCACUCUGCCUCACAAAUGAAUAAAGUAGUCUUGGAUUAUAA